rnacentral:rRNA from 1 species
GAUGCUUGGUACUUGUACAGCUGGUGAGCAGCGAACGGGUGAGUAACGCGUGGGGAAUCUGCCUUUGAGCGGGGAACAACAUUUGGAAACGAAUGCUAAUACCGCAUAACAACUUUAAACACAAGUUUUAAGUUUGAAAGAUGCAAUUGAUCACUCAAAGAUGAUCCCGCGUUGUAUUAGCUAGUUGGUGAGGUAAAGGCUCACCAAGGCGAUGAUACAUAGCCGACCUGAGAGGGUGAUCGGCCACAUUGGGACUGAGACACGACCCAAACUUAUACGGGAGGCAGCAGUAGGGAAUCUUCGGCAAUGGACGAAAGUCUGACCGAGCAACGCCGCGUGAGUCAAGAAGGUUUUCGGAUCGUAAAACUCUGUUGGUAGAGAAGAACGUUGGUGAGAGUGGAAAGCUCAUCAAGUGACGGUAACUACCCAGAAAGGGACGGCUAACUACGUGCCAGCAGCCGCGGUAAUACGUAGGUCCCGAGCGUUGUCCGGAUUUAUUGGGCGUAAAGCGAGCGCAGGUGGUUUAUUAAGUCUGGUGUAAAAGGCAGUGGCUCAACCAUUGUAUGCAUUGGAAACUGGUAGACUUGAGUGCAGGAGAGGAGAGUGGAAUUCCAUGUGUAGCGGUGAAAUGCGUAGAUAUAUGGAGGAACACCGGUGGCGAAAGCGGCUCUCUGGCCUGUAACUGACACUGAGGCUCGGAAGCGUGGGGAGCAAACAGGAUUAGAUACCCUGGUAGUCCACGCCGUAAACGAUGAGUGCUUGAUGUAGGGAGCUAUAGUUCUCUGUAUCGCAGCUAACGCAAUAGGCACUCCGCCUGGGGAGUACGACACAGGUAUGAUACUCAGAAGGGAUUGACGGCGGGCCCGCACAGCGGUGGAGCAUGUGAUAAAUACGAAGCACGCGAAGAGCUAGCAGGUCUGAACAUACUCGUGCUAUCUAGAGAUAGUAGUCUUCGGAACACGGAUUACAGGUCGUGCAUGCUGUCGUCAGCUCGAGU